AUGGCGCCCUCCAGGAAGUUCUUCGUGGGGAGGAACUGGAAGAUGAACGGGCGGAAGAAAUGUCUGGGGGAGCUCAUCGGCACUCAGAACGCGGCCACUGUGCCUGCCGACACCAAGGUGAUUUGUGCUCUCGCCACUGCGUAUAACGAGUUGGCCCGGCAGAAGCUAGCUCCCAAGAUUGCUGUGGCUCCGCAGAACUGCUACAAAGUGACUAAUGGGGCCUUUACUGGGGAGAUCAGCCCUGGCAUGGUCAAAGACUUAGGAGUCACGUGGGUGGUGUGGUCCUGGGGCACUCAGAAGGCGUGUCUUUGGGGAGUCAGAUGAGCUGAUUGGGCAGAAAAGUGGCCCAUGCUCUGGCAGAGAGACUCGGAGUAAUCGCCUGCAUUGGGGAGAAGCUAGAUGAAAGGGAAGCUGGCAUCACUGAGAAGGUUGUUUUUGAGCAGACAAAGGUCAUCGCAGAUAAUGUGAAGGACUGGAGCAAGGUCAUCUUGGCCUAUGAUCCCGUGUGGGCCACUGGUACUGGCAAGACUGCAACACCCCAACAGGCCCAGGAGGUACACAAGAAGCUCCGAGGAUGGCUUAAGUCCAACAUCUCUGAUGCAGUGGCUCAGAGCACUGGUAUCAUUUAUGGAGGCUCUGUGACCAAGGCAACCUGCAAGGAGCUGGCCAGCCAGCCUGACGUGGCUGCCUUCCUCAUGAGUGGUGUUUCCCUCAAGCCCGAAUUCGUAGACAUCAUCAAUGCCAAACAAUGA
rnacentral:lncRNA from 1 species